UGAGAGAAGAGUUGAGUAG
rnacentral:miRNA from 1 species